UCCUCUGCAUCUCCCCAUGAUGGUGUGGUGCCUUCUCCUUGCCACAGUCUUGGUCUCCGUUGGUCUCAGCACCCAGCAGCUACAGUCUCUGAAACCCUCAGAGGCGGUUCCUCUAGGUGGGACCAUCAGCAUGUCUUGCACGUUUGAUAGCGGAAGCAUCACUGAUAACAACUACCCUCUCUGGAUCCAGCACAAAUUGGGUAAAGCGCCCUGGCUGUUGCUUUACCACACCAGCAAAAGAGCAUCCGGUGUCCCAGCCCGUUUCUCUGGGUCUAGAUCAGGGAAUACGAUGUCGUUGGCCAUCACUGGGGCCUUGCAGGAAGAUGAAACUGAUUAUUUCUGUGCCGUGUGGACAGGGACUCAGCAGCACAGACAUUCAUUCAAAUGGGGGAAGCGAGAAUAAACUACUUUUGCUGUUUUU